CACUUAGAUUCUUUGAUGAAGAAACCACGCACAUGGAUAGCAAAUGGCUGAGUCUGGCUAUGAACGCAGAAGGACAAGGAUGCUAUUUCCUGCAAGAGAAGACAAAUCUGCAUAAGAGAAGGGGCCAUAAGACAUGAGAAUGUAGUGCUGGCUUGUAUACUGUGGGUUGAAGUGAAUUGAACAAAACCAUCUGAGGGUUGUUCAGAAGAUAGACGGGAAGAUGGUCUCAGAAAAGUUUCUGUGACCAAAGUUAAUAUAGGAAAUUCCUCUGAUGUUCUUUGAGAAGCAAAAGUAAAUAAUUGGAUGUUUCUUAAAAUACGUUUGGCUGGCAAACUGUGUUUCUUCAAAAUAA
rnacentral:lncRNA from 1 species